AUCCACGGGGGAAGAGAGGGAAUCAGGUGAAAGACCUGAACAGUGCCCGCUACUGUAAUCUCCAUUAUGAAAAGCCUAAGAUAUCCACUGAGGCAAUCGGGAAGGAAGGCUUUUUGGAGAGAGUCAGGAAACCUGCCAGUCAUUAC
rnacentral:ncRNA from 1 species